GAGCCAGAGUCUGACCCAGAACCAGAGUCUGACCCAGAACCAAGAUGAGAGUUAAGAGGAGGAAGUUGUAGUUGUUUAAGAACAGAUUCAAACUUGAGAAUUUCUGAGACUUCAGGAGCUGCAGGGUGAUUCAUGUAUGACGGUUAUAUGGAAGUACCUUCAGAGAGGCUGUAUGUCCAGCCCGGCAAGGCCAAGACGGUCCACUUUGAUCAGGACAAAAGGGAAAGCGUUGUGGACAUCUAUGUCAGCUCAGAAAGCCUGAGAGUGUUUGACACCCCGUGGACAGAGGACAUGUCUCCACACGCACCKGGACAAGCAGGAGCUCAACACAUGGUGACUUUUGUGAAUAAAACAUCACUAAAGCRUCGUAUCAGAAGUCCCUCUGUGUUUCUGGGUGUCCUGUGUUUUCUGCUAAUAAUUGGAAUCAUCAGUCUUUCAGUCAAAAUGAAAAGUGAUCAAAUCCAAUGGGACCAAGAGCGAACGAACUUAUUAAACUGCACGAAACACACAAAUCUCACAUUAAAUGAACACUUAACAAGCAUUAACGCUGCACUCAAAGAGGCUAAUAAAAGAUGCCAGAAUUCGACUGGUAAUAAUAAAAACCAGCAGUGAAAUGUUUGUGGCUGCUACAGAACGGUGUCAUGGUGUUAGACGUCCUUUGCAUCAACCAACCAAACAUUUCAUGUUUUGAUCGGAAACAAAAAAUAAUGAAGCUUUAAAGGAAUUUGAAAAGUCUGUUUCAGCAUGUACUGUAUUUGAAGUGUUUUUACAUGUUUCAUAUUUUAUUAUUUGUUUUGCAUUACCACUUUUUCCCCAAAUAAAUGUUACCACACACUCUUCCAUUUUAAAGCUGAUUUAUCUGAAUGUCACAGUGCCCAUGUAUGUUGAGUUGUUUUAGAGAUUUUAUCACAAAUCUCAGCUUUUCCAUUAUUUAUAUGGUAGAGCUGCACAAUAUUGGAAAAUCUUGCAAUGUGCAUUAAAGGGGCAAUAAUAUAUAUAUAUAUAUAUUACAUUUUGUGUUUCAUUUAUCUUAGUUUAUUUUAAAAGCCUGACACUUUUUGUUUAACAAAUGUUUACGUCUGUCUGCCAUUGUGAAUAUUGUGUUUGUGUCUUGUAAGCCUUUAUGAGGCUGGGCACCUUUAGGUGUAUGACAUGAGAAUAAAAUUAUCUGUAUAUG